GACGAACGCUGGCGGCGUGCUUAACACAUGCAAGUCGAACGGAAAGGCCCUGCUUUUGUGGGGUGCUCGAGUGGCGAACGGGUGAGUAACACGUGAGUAACCUGCCCUUGACUUUGGGAUAACUUCAGGAAACUGGGGCUAAUACCGGAUAGGAGCUCCUGCUGCAUGGUGGGGGUUGGAAAGUUUCGGCGGUUGGGGAUGGACUGGCGGCUUAUCAGCUUGUUGGUGGGGUAGUGGCUUACCAAGGCUUUGACGGGUAGCCGGCCUGAGAGGGGGACCGGGCACAUUGGGACUGAGGGACGGCGCAGAGUCGUACGGGGGGCAGCGGUGGGGAAUAUGGCACAAUGGGAGGAAGCCUGAUGCAGCAACGCCGCGGUCGGGAUGACGGCCUUCGGGUUGUAAAACGCUUUCGCCUGUGACGAAGCGUGAGUGACGGUAAUGGGUAAAGAAGCACCGGCUAACUACGUG
rnacentral:rRNA from 1 species